ACUGCCGUGAUGUUGAAGAUACGAAGGACGAAGCUGGCACCCUGGCCUAUCUGAGCAGAAAGUUUGCCACCCUAAGCCCACCACCACCUUGGGUGGUCCCCCAGCGGGCGGCGCGAAGCCUGGCCAAAAAAGUUACCGGCGAGGUGCAGGGGGAGCGGCGCCUCGCAUAUAGAUAAGUGCAGUAAUGCACCUGAGGACUUGGCGGGAGCGGGCUCGCCCUGCCCACCUCCCCACCUGUUUCCUGCGGUGGAGGCGUAGGGGGUGCUGGGAGGGCGCACGCCCGCAGGCCGCGGCCGGCGGAGUGUGAGCGCCGAGAUACCGCAGUCACCGUGGAGGCUGGAAACAUCCAGCUCCUUGGGUGAAGGUGGCCAGCAGGCAUCAUCCCCGACCCGCGGUAACUUUGUGGAGGGAAGGUUCAGUGGGAUUUGCUCUCGCACGUACAGAAGGCGCUGAGGGAAAUACGGGCCUCGUCACCGGCUCUGUCCUUCGGCGGCGGUGGGUACAGAAUCAGAGCCCGGCCGGCAAGGACCCUCCAGUUACAGGGGAGGAAGGUUGGAGCUUAGUGCCCUGUGUGACUAGGUUGCUGUUCUAUACCACUCCGAUCAUUACAGGGGGAGUUGUCCUAGGGGAAGAAAAGGCAUGGUUCUAAAACACGGUGUCAAAAAGAGACAACGCAGCUCCAAGAUGCGCUGGAAAUCAGCCCUAGUGUAGGAAGCGACACGGGAAGCCAGGCAGUGGAGGCAAGCCCAGCUGAGCCUGACCACAGCCAAAAGGAGUCAAGCUGAGCCAAGCUGAAGCUGCUGAGCCAAAGGGAGCUGAGUGGAGCCGGGCAGAGCAGUCAAAAGCAGCAGAGCCAGGAACAGCUGCAUGGGAUAGAGUGCAGUGUCUGAAGCCGUGGUGCCUCACAACACAUGCUAUCUGGCUCUGGGGGGCUUGUCCCACGGUCUUUUCCAUUGUUGUGGGUACACAGAGCCAGCUGCAAGAAGUGGCUGCCAUCUUGUCUUUGUCCCAUGAGUCAUACAGACACAAGCUGUGGUGGGGUGUCGGCCGUCUUAUUUUGUCACAGCAGACACACGAAAGCAAGCUGAGGUGGUGAGCACCUUUUCCCUGUGUAAAGCACCUUUCUUUUUUGUAUUAAUAUUUUAAUAAAUUUUGCUUCUGUUACUA